rnacentral:rRNA from 1 species
UACGGAGGGUGCAAGCGUUAUCCGGAUUCAUUGGGUUUAAAGGGUGCGCAGGCGGAAUGAUAAGUCAGUGGUGAAAUCCUACAGCUCAACUGUAGAACUGCCAUUGAUACUGUCGUUCUUGAGUAUAGUUGAAGUGGGUGGAAUGUAUCAUGUAGCGGUGAAAUGCAUAGAUAUGAUACAGAACUCCGAUAGCGAAGGCAACUCACUAAACUAUAACUGACGCUCAUGCACGAAAGCGUGGGGAGCAAACAGG